rnacentral:lncRNA from 1 species
UUUCAUUGUUGCGAUAUAACCAGUGCCUACUAAUCCUUAGACAUCUUGGUGAGAAACAACUUCUUCCCUUCUUCCUACCUGAUGCAGUGAUGACUGCUGCACCAAUAUGACAGCAAGAAUCUGUUGGUCACCCAAGUAAACCUGAAAUGGACUUUAUCCCUUUCCCUUAAUCCAAGUCACUGAAGGUGAUCUUGGAAAAAGGACUUUCCAACCCUGUUGGUAAUCUCGUAAAGAGUUCACCAGUUCCAGAAUUAAGAAACAUGUUGCCCAGAAGAUCAGAAAAGACAAUCACUUCCAGGAUGAUUCAGGAAUUCCAUGGAGACUGGAACAACCUCCAGGAAUUGAUGCAGAGUGACAGGAGCAGAGCCUGGAAAACAUUGUGGACAGAGACUCAUACACUGUGGUACAGAUGAAUGUAAUGGACUUCUCCAUUAGUGGCAGUGCAGUGAUCCUGAACAAGUUGGAGAAAUCUAUGAGGAAAAACCACUAUCCACAUUCAGAGGAAACACUGUGGGAGCAAAAACACUUAAGAAAAACAACUGCUUGAAUGCAUGCAUGAAAGGGAUAUAGUUGGGGUUAUAGACUCUAAAUGAACAUCCUAGUGCAAAUACCAACAUGGAAAUGGGUUCUGAUCAAGGACACAAGUAAUGCCCAAUGAAAUAUGUGCAUCACCUGCAGAAAGGGUGGUUGGAGGGGAGAGAGGGAAAUAAAGUGAGUAUUUUAACCA